rnacentral:pre_miRNA from 1 species
CCGUUUGCUGGUGCAGCAUCAUGAAGAUUCACAAGCUCUCUUAUCAGAGAACUCCACCUCGUUCCGGGAGUACUGUGUGAUGCUCAGAAAAGAGGCUUGGAACAUGGGAGAUAUGAGAAUCUUGAUGAUGCUGCAUCGGCAGAUGC